rnacentral:tRNA from 1 species
GAGUGUAUAGCUCAGUGGUAGAGCGCGUGCUUAGCAUGCAGGAGGUCCUGGGUUCAAUCCCCAGUGCCUCCA